UACGUAGGGACCGAGCGUUGUCCGGAAUCAUUGGGCGUAAAGAGCGUGUAGGCGGCCACUUAAGUCCUGCGUGAAAUCCUGCGGCUCAACCGCAGGCGGUCGUGGGAAACUGGGUGGCUAGAGUGCGGGAGAGGAGAGUGGAAUUCCUGGUGUAGCGGUGGGAAUGCGCAGAUAUCAAGAAGAACACCCGUGGCGAAGGCGACUCUCUGGAACGCAACUGACGCUGAGACGCGAAAGCGUGGGGAGCAAACAGG
rnacentral:rRNA from 1 species